UGCCCAGCAACUCCUAUCCCUACCUCCUCGCGGUACUGGCCGGGAUACGAGUAACCUUAGGGAAGAUCGGGUAACCAACCCCCGGUGGGAACUCUGGUCGUAUGCUGACAGGGAAGG
rnacentral:ribozyme from 1 species